AGCAGCCGCGGUAAUUCCAGCUCCAAUAGCGUAUAUUAAAGUUGUUGCAGUUAAAAAGCUCGUAGUUGAAUUUCGGGGUCAGUGGGUCGGUCGUGCCACUGGUAUGUACUGGCCCUACUGAUUCCUCCUUCUUGAAGAACUGUAAUGCCAUUAAUUUGGUGUUGCAGGGAAACAGGACUGUUACUUUGAAAAAAUUAGAGUGUUUAAAGCAGGCAAUCGCUUGAAUACAUUAGCAUGGAAUAAUGAAAUAGGACGUUUGAUCUUAUUUUGUUGGUUUCUAGGAUCGACGUAAUGAUUAAUAGGGAUAGUUGGGGGCAUUAGUAUUCAAUUGUCAGAGGUGAAAUUCUUGGAUUUAUUGAAGACUAACUACUGCGAAAGCAUUUGCCAAGGAUGUUUUCAUUAAUCAAGAACGAAAGUUAGGGGAUCGAAGACGAUCAGAUACCGUCGUAGUCUUAACCAUAAACUAUGCCGACUAGGGAUCGGAUGAUGUUAAUUUUUUAAUGACUCA
rnacentral:rRNA from 1 species